CCCUAUUAUUAAAUGGAAUUAAAAAUUAGUAUAAGUGAAAUUUAAUAAUUCUGGCGGUUAAUUUUUUUUUAGAGGAGCUUGUAAAUUAAUAGAAUUAACUCUUUAAAUUUUGGUAUUAAAUAAUUUAUUCAUCUCCGUUAUCAAGAUUAAUUUAACAAAUAUUUUUAAUAUAUCAGGUCAAGAUGUAGUUUUUAUUAAUAAUUUAUUAGCUACAGUUAUUUUAAUAAAUGGAUUAAUAGUUUUAAAUUAAGUUUGAAUUUGAAUUUAAUUGUAAUAUUAAUUAGAAAAUUAUUAUGAAUUAUGUAUAUUAAUGUA
rnacentral:rRNA from 1 species